rnacentral:rRNA from 1 species
GACGUAGGGCGCGAGCGUUUGUUCGGAUUUACUGGGCGUAAAGGGCGCGUAGGCGGCCUCCGCAAGUCAGUUGUGAAAUCUCCGAGCUUAACUCGGAAAGGUCAACUGAUACUGCGGGGCUAGAGUGCGGGAAGGGGCAACUGGAAUUCUUGGUGUAGCGGUGGAAUGCGCAGAUAUCAGGAGGAACACCUAUAGCGAAGGCAGCUUGCUGGGACGUAACUGACGCUAAGGCGCGAAAGCGUGGGGAGCGAACAGG